rnacentral:rRNA from 1 species
GAACGUACGCUGGCGGCACGCCUAACACAUGCAAGUCGAACGAAGUAGCAAUACUUAGUGGCAGACGGGUGAGUAACAUGUAGGUAUCUGCCCUUUGGCCUGGAAUAACACGAGGAAACUUGUGCUAAUACCGGAUAAGUCUUUACGGAGAAAGCUUUAUGCACCAUUGGAUGAGCCUGCACUUGAUUAGUUUGUUGGUGGGGUAAUGGCCUACCAAGACUGUGAUCAAUAGCUGAUUUGAGAGGAUGAUCAGCCACAUUGGGACUGAGACACGGCCCAAACUCCUACGGGAGGCAGCAGUGGGGAAUCUUGCACAAUGGAGGAAACUCUGAUGCAGCGAUGCCGCGUGAGUGAAGAAGGCCUUUGGGUUGUAAAGCUCUUUCGUCGGGGAAGAAAAUGACUGUACCCGAAUAAGAAGGUCCGGCUAACUUCGUGCCAGCAGCCGCGGUAAUACGAAGGGACCUAGCGUAGUUCGGAAUUACUGGGCUUAAAGAGUUCGUAGGUGGUUGAAAAAGUUAGUGGUGAAAUCCCAGAGCUUAACUCUGGAACUGCCAUUAAAACUUUUCAGCUAGAGUAUGAUAGAGGAAAGCAGAAUUUCUAGUGUAGAGGUGAAAUUCGUAGAUAUUAGAAAGAAUACCAAUUGCGAAGGCAGCUUUCUGGAUCAUUACUGACACUGAGGAACGAAAGCAUGGGUAGCGAAGAGGAUUAGAUACCCUCGUAGUCCAUGCCGUAAACGAUGUGUGUUAGACGUUGGAAAUUUAUUUUCAGUGUCGCAGGGAAACCGAUAAACACACCGCCUGGGGAGUACGACCGCAAGGUUAAAACUCAAAUGAAUUGACGGGGACCCGCACAAGUAGUGGAGCAUGUGGUUUAAUUCGAAGAUACGCGCAGAACCUUACCAACACUUGACAUGUUCGUCGCGACUCUAAGAGAUUAGAGUUUUCGGUUCGGCCGGACGAAACACAGGUGCUGCAUGGCUGUCGUCAGCUCGUGUCGUGAGAUGUUGGGUUAAGUCCCGCAACGAGCGCAACCCUCACUUUUAGUUGCCAUCAUUAAGUUGGGCACUCUGAAAGAACUGCCAGUGAUAAGCUGGAGGAAGGUGGGGAUGACGUCAAGUCCUCAUGGCCCUUACGUGUUGGGCUACACACGUGCUACAAUGGUAUCUACAACAGGAAGCAAGACUGCGAAGUUAAGCAAAUCCCUAAAAGAUACCUCAGUUCGGAUUGCACUCUGCAACUCGAGUGCAUGAAGCUGGAAUUACUAGUAAUCGUGGAUCAGCGUGCCACGGUGAAUGCGUUCCCGGGUCUUGUACAC